GACGAACGCUGGCGGCGCGCUUAACACAUGCAAGUCGAGCGAAGCGGCGGACGGGUGAGUCACACGUGAGUAACCUGACUUAGACAUUGGGAUAGCCCCGGUAAACCGGGAUUAAUACCAAAUGGUAUAAGAUGUACUUGCGUCCCAUUAGCUAGUUGGUGUGAAACGGCCCACGAAGGCGACGAGGGCUAGCCGGCACGAGAGGGUGAACGGCCACAUUAGAACAGAGAAACGGUCCAAACUCUACGGGAGGCAGCAGUGGGGAAUGUUGCACAAUGGAGGGAACUCUGAUGCAGCGACGCCGUGUGAACGAAUAAGGCUUUCGAGACGUAAAGUUCUUUUAUAUGGGUAGCGGUACCAUAAGAAAAAGCCCCGGCUAACUACGUGCCAGCAGCCGCGGUAAUAC
rnacentral:rRNA from 1 species